CCGGUACUGUGUUGGUUUGUUCCAUCAUUGCUGUCUGAAAGACACUUACUACGUCAUCUUAUAAAGUUAUGACGUCAUUGCUGCCAGUUCAUAAAACGGACGUCGAUUAGAGAAGCUGAAAAUUGGACGUCGAUUAGAGAAGCCAAAAAUUGGACGUCGAUUAGAGGGGCAUAAAAUUGGCCGUCGAUUUGGAGUCUUGUUUUAUU
rnacentral:lncRNA from 1 species